GAUGAACGCUAGCUACAGGCUUAACACAUGCAAGUCGAGGGACCGGCGCACGGGUGAGUAACACGUAUCCAAACUGCCCUUUACUCGGGGAUAGCCAUUCGAAAGAAAGAUUAAUACCCGAUAUAAAGGAUUGGAAUGCGUUCCCUUAGGUUGUUGGUGAGGUAAAGGCUCACCAAGCCUUCGAUGGAUCGGGGUUCGGAGAGGAAGGUCCCCCACAUGUGAACUGGUACCCGUUCCAAACUCCUACGGGAGGCAGCAGUGAGGAAUAGUGGUCAAUGGGCGCUAGCCUGAACCAGCCAAGUAGCGUGAAGGAUGAAGGCUUAUGGGUCGUAAACUUCUUUUAUAUAAGAAUAUGUAUUAUAUGAAUAAGGAGCGGCUAACUCCGUGCCAGCAGCCGCGGUAAUAC
rnacentral:rRNA from 1 species